rnacentral:tRNA from 1 species
GGCCAUGGCGCAGUCUGGUAGCGCGUCCGUCUGGGGGACGGAAGGUCGCAGGUUCGAGUCCUGCUGGCCCGACCAAAACA